rnacentral:lncRNA from 1 species
AUUUAGCGGUGAUUAUCAAACGGCCGCUAUUACUAUUAUUUUAUUACACCUUUAGCAGCAAUUAUUUUUAAAUAUAUAUUUUCAACCUACUAAUAUUUAUAUAUUAAAUAUAAUCCUAAUCCAACCCAAACCUAACCCAACCUCAACCUAACCCACCCAACCUCGCGCCCUCUCUCAACCCGCGCCCACUCCCCCUCGCCCUCCCCACUCCUUGCUCCUCUCUCGAUCCAAGCUCCCCCUCCCCCUCCCCCCUCCUCUCUCCUCUCUCGAUCCAAGCUCCCUCUCCCCCUCCUCUCUCGAUCCAAGCUGUGUCGCCUUUAUUGCGAGCAGCGGCGGCGGCGUCGUCGUCUCUGGCGGAGGAGCUCUCGGCGGCGGCGGAGGAGUGGCUGAGGAAUUAAGCUCUCGGCGGCGGCAUCUAGGGUUCCGGCGAAGCCGCGACGACCGCGCCGUGUGUCUCGCCGAGAAUCCCCUCUGGCACGCCCAGCUCUCCCUCGAUGUCACCGAUCUCUACAUCAGGUCCCAAAUCUCGCUCGGCGGCCCUUUCCUGCGUAGAUCUCACAGGUACGCCCCAAAUCCUCUUUCUCCUCUCUCCUCCUCCUCUCCACUCCCCUAAAUCUCCUACGAUUUCCUUUGAAACCCUAACCAUGAGAGUCGGAAUCUAACAAAUCUAGCUCCCAAAUCCUUCGAACUCUCGAUCGAUACCUAGAUUAUUCACCGUGGACAAGUAAAAGGUGGUGAGAGACAUGGGAUCAAGCAACUUCGGCGCGGCGAAGCUAAUGCGGAACAAGGGGAUGCA